rfam:Cariama cristata contig102445, whole genome shotgun sequence.
UGGUUUCUCUUCAGAUUGUAUAAAUCUUUUACCUUUUACUAAAGGUGUCCACGGAGAGGAACAAUUUA